rnacentral:rRNA from 1 species
UACGGAGGAUGCGAGCGUUAUCCGGAUUUAUUGGGUUUAAAGGGUGCGUAGGCGGGCUUUUAAGUCAGCGGUAAAAAUUCGGGGCUCAACCCCGUCCGGCCGUUGAAACUGGGGGCCUUGAGUGGGCGAGAAGAAGGCGGAAUGCGUGGUGUAGCGGUGAAAUGCAUAGAUAUCACGCAGAACCCCGAUUGCGAAGGCAGCCUUCCGGCGCCCUACUGACGCUGAGGCACGAAAGUGCGGGGAUCGAACAGGAUUAGAUACCCGUGUAGUCCAAGCUACCCCGUACGGUGCCAGCAGCUGCGGUA